AGGUAAAUGGUGGAUCAGAAAGCGAGUGUGUCUGCACUGGUCACAAACCAAGAGCACGGAGCCAUCAAUACCUUAACAAGCUAGUGGAAAUUCAUAAACUGGAGAGUAAACUACAGCAAGGAGUUCAGAGAUCUGAUCUACAUAUUGAAGAGGAGGAAAUAAACCUUUACAGUGAUCCCCACUCUCUUAACAUGCUUGUUCAACCAAUUUUCAACACACUUCACGGUAAAUCAAGGU